UACGGGGGUAGCAAGCGUUGUUCGGAUUUACUGGGCGUAAAGGGCGCGUAGGCGGCACCGCAAGUCGACUGUGAAAUCUCCGGGCUUAACUCGGAAAGGUCAGCCGAUACUGCGGGGCUAGAGUGCAGAAGGGGCAACUGGAAUUCUCGGUGUAGCGGUGAAAUGCGUAGAUAUCGAGAGGAACACCUGCGGCGAAGGCGGGUUGCUGGGCUGACACUGACGCUGAUGCGCGAAAGCUAGGGGAGCGAACGGG
rnacentral:rRNA from 1 species